CCAGCAGCCGCGGUAAUUCCAGCUCCAAUAGCGUAUAUUUAAGUUGUUGCAGUUAAAAAGCUCGUAGUUGGAUUUCGGGUGGGUUGUAGCGGUCAGCCUUUGGUGAGUACUGCUACGGCCCACCUUUCUGCCGGGGACGUGCUCCUGGGCUUAACUGUCCGGGACACGGAAUCGGCGAGGUUACUUUGAGUAAAUUAGAGUGUUCAAAGCAAGCCUACGCUCUGAAUACAUUAGCAUGGAAUAACACGAUAGGACUCUGGCUUAUCUUGUUGGUCUGUAAGACCGGAGUAAUGAUUAAGAGGGACAGUCGGGGGCAUUCGUAUUUCAUUGUCAGAGGUGAAAUUCUUGGAUUUAUGAAAGACGAACUUCUGCGAAAGCAUUUGCCAAGGAUGUUUUCAUUAAUCAAG
rnacentral:rRNA from 1 species